rnacentral:rRNA from 1 species
ACCUGCGGAAGGAUCAUUAACGAGUAACUGAACAGGUUGUAGCUGGCCUUUCGGGGCAUGUGCACACCUGGCUCAUCCACUCUUCAACCUCUGUGCACUUGUUGUAGGUCGGUAGAAGAGCGAGCAUUUAAUGCUUGCUUGGAAGCCUUCCUAUGUUUUACUACAAACGCUUCAGUUUAAGAAUGUUUACCUGCGUAUAACGCAUUUAUAUACAACUUUCAGCAACGGAUCUCUUGGCUCUCGCAUCGAUGAAGAACGCAGCGAAAUGCGAUAAGUAAUGUGAAUUGCAGAAUUCAGUGAAUCAUCGAAUCUUUGAACGCACCUUGCGCUCCCUGGUAUUCCGGGGAGCAUGCCUGUUUGAGUGUCAUGGUAUUCUCAACCUUCAUAACUUUUGUUAUCGAAGGCUUGGACUUGGAGGUUGUGCUGGCUUCUAGUUAAGUCGGCUCCUCUUAAAUGUAUUAGCGUGAGUGUAACGGAUCGCUUCGGUGUGAUAAUUAUCUGCGCCGUGGUCGUGAAGUAACAUAAGCUUGCGCUUCUAACCGUCCUUCAGUUGGACAAUUACUUUGACAUCUGACCUCAAAUCAGGUAGGACUACCCGCUGAACUUAAGCAUAUCAUA